rnacentral:rRNA from 1 species
UACGAAGGGGGCUAGCGUUGUUCGGAAUUACUGGGCGUAAAGGGCGCGCAGGCGGCCCUCCAAGUCAGGCGUGAAAGCCCCGGGCUCAACCCGGGAAUAGCGCUUGAGACUGGGGGGCUUGAGUUCGGGAGAGGAGAGUGGAAUUCCCAGUGUAGAGGUGAAAUUCGUAGAUAUUGGGAAGAACACCGGUGGCGAAGGCGGCUCUCUGGACCGACACUGACGCUGAGGCGCGAAAGCGUGGGGAUCAAACAGG